UACGUAGGGGGCAAGCGUUGUCCGGAAUCAUUGGGCGUAAAGAGCGCGUAGGCGGUCCGGUAAGUCCGCUCUGAAAGUCCGGGGCUCAACCCCGGGAGGCGGGCGGAUACUGUCGGGCUAGAGUCCGGAAGAGGCGAGUGGAAUUCCUGGUGUAGCGGUGAAAUGCGCAGAUAUCAGGAGGAACACCAAUGGCGAAGGCAGCUCGCUGGGACGGUACUGACGCUGAGGCGCGAAAGCGUGGGGAGCAAACCGG
rnacentral:rRNA from 1 species